UACGUAGGGGGCAAGCGUUGUCCGGAUUCAUUGGGCGUAAAGAGCGUGUAGGCGGCCAGGUAGGUCCGUUGUGAAAACUCGAGGCUCAACCUCGAGACGUCGAUGGAAACCAUCUGGCUAGAGUCCGGAAGAGGAGAAUGGAAUUCCCGGUGUAGCGGUGAAAUGCGCAGAUAUCGGGAAGAACACCCGUGGCGAAGGCGGUUCUCUGGGACGGUACUGACGCUGAGACGCGAAAGCGUGGGGAGCGAACAGG
rnacentral:rRNA from 1 species